rnacentral:rRNA from 1 species
UAAUACGAAGGGUGCAAGCGUUACUCGGAAUUACUGGGCGUAAAGCGUGCGUAGGUGGUUCGUUAAGUCUGAUGUGAAAGCCCUGGGCUCAACCUGGGAAUGGCAUUGGAAACUGGCGACCUAGAGUGCGGUAGAGGGUAGUGGAAUUCCCGGUGUAGCAGUGAAAUGCGUAGAGAUCGGGAG